rnacentral:rRNA from 1 species
UUGACCUCAAAUCAGGUAGGACUACCCGCUGAGCUUAAGCAUAUCAAUAAGCGGAGGAAAAGAAACUAACAAGGAUUCCCCUAGUAACUGCGAGUGAAGCGGGAAGAGCUCAAAUUUAAAAUCUGGUGGUCCUCGCGGCCGUCCGAGAUGUAAUCUGGAGAAGCGUUUUCCGCGUCGGACCGUGUACAAGUCUUCUGGAAUGGAGCGUCGUAGAGGGUGAGAAUCCCGUCUCUGAAACGGACCGCCGAUGCUUUUGUGA